rnacentral:lncRNA from 1 species
CUGAGAAGCAACCAGCCAGUGUUUUAUGUCUCAGUGAGUUUUCUAGCUAUUAUUUAUACCUUCUGUGUUUUAUUCUAAGCUUCAGAUAAUGGGAAGUUGUUCAAUCAUGAUGAUUCAGUAUGUGUUCUGUAGAAGUCUUCUAACAGUGUGUGUGUGUUCUGUAGAAGUCUUCUAACAGUGUUUGUGUGUGUUCUGUAGAAGUCUUCUAACAGUGUGUGUGUGUUCUGUAGAAGUCUUCUAACAGUGUGUGUGUUCUGUAGAAGUCUUCUAACAGUGUUUGUUUUGUGGAAGUCUUCUGACAGUGUGUGUGUGUUCUGUAGAACUCUUCUAACAGUGUGUGUGUGUUCUGUAGAACUCUUCUAACAGUGUGUGUGUGUUCUGUAGAAGUCUUCUAACAGUGUGUGUGUGUUCUGUAGAAGUCUUCUAACAGUGUGUGUGUUUUGUAGAAGUCUUCUAACAGUGUGUGUGUUCUGUAGAAGUCUUCUAACAGUGUUUGUUCUGUGGAAGUCUUCUGACAGUGUGUGUGUGUUCUGUAGAACUCUUCUAACAGUGUGUGUGUGUUCUGUAGAACUCUUCUAACAGUGUGUGUGUGUUCUGUAGAAGUCUUCUAACAGUGUGUGUGUGUUCUGUAGAAGUCUUCUAACAGUGUUUGUUUUGUGGAAGUCUUCUGACAGUGUGUGUGUGUUCUGUAGAACUCUUCUAACAGUGUGUGUGUGUUCUGUGGAAGUCUUCUAACAGUGUGUGUGUUUUGUAGAAGUCUUCUAACAGUGUGUGUGUUCUGUAGAACUCUUCUAACAGUGUGUGUGUGUUCUGUAGAACUCUUCUAACAGUGUGUGUGUGUUCUGUGGAAGUCUUCUAACAGUGUGUGUGUUUUGUAGAAGUCUUCUAACAGUGUGUGUGUGUUCUGUAGAAGUCUUCUAACGGUGUGUGUGUGUGUUCUGUAGAACUCUUCUAAGAGUGUGUGUGUGUUCUGUAGAAGUCUUCUAACAGUGUGUAUGUGUUCUGUAGCACUCUGAAAAUAGUACUGCAUUAGUGUACAAUGGCUAUGAUGCAUCUAGGUGGUGGUAUUAGUGGCUAGUGUGUGUAUCGGCGGGGCGGGGGUGGUGGCGUAUCUGCGGUCCGGUUGUGGUGGGUUGGCAUGGGUCUAAGUUCUUUCUUCUGGCUCCCGAGUGGCGCAGCAGUCUAAGGCCC